rnacentral:rRNA from 1 species
UACGUAGGGGGCAAGCGUUGUCCGGAAUCAUUGGGCGUAAAGAGCGCGUAGGCGGCCCUGUAAGUCCGCUGUGAAAGUCAAGGGCUCAACCCUUGAAUGCCGGUGGAUACUGUCGAGCUAGAGUCCGGAAGAGGCGAGUGGAAUCCUGGUGUAGCGGUGAAAUGCGCAGAUAUCCAGGAGGAACACCAAUGGCGAAGGCAGCUCGCUGGGACGGUACUGACGCUGAGACCGCGAAAGCGU